rnacentral:rRNA from 1 species
UACGUAGGGGGCUAGCGUUGUCCGGAUUGAUUGGGCGUAAAGAGCGUGUAGGCGGCCAGGUAGGUCUGCUGUGAAAACUCGAGGCUCAACCUCGAGACGUCGGCGGAAACCAUCUGGCUAGAGUCCGGAAGAGGAGAGUGGAAUUCCUGGUGUAGCGGUGAAAUGCGUAGAUAUCUGGAGGAACACCGGUGGCGAAGGCGGCAUCCUGGACCGACACUGACGCUGAGGAGCGAAAGCCAGGGGAGCAAACGGG